rnacentral:rRNA from 1 species
UACAGAGGCCUCGAGCGUUAAUCGGAAUUACUGGGCUUAAAGGGUGCGUAGGCGGAGCGAUAAGUGCCUUGUGAAAUCCCAUGGCUCAACCAUGGAAUUGCUCGGUAGACUAUCGUUCUUGAGGUAGGUAGGGGUCACUGGAACUCUAGGUGGAGCGGUGAAAUGCGUAGAUAUCUAGAGGAACGCCGAUGGUGAAGACAGGUGACUGGGCCUAUUCUGACGCUGAUGCACGAAAGCGUGGGGAGCAAAC